ensembl:lincRNA
CAGCCGGACCCCCUCACCCACGAGGUCACUGCAGCCGGACCCCCCUCCGCCCACGCGGUCACCUCAGCCGGACCCCCUCACCCACGCGGUCGCCUCUCCCCGCAUGCAGAUCUUCACUCCUGUCUCAGUGAAGUUUCGCAGUGUUUCCCUCAAUAGGUCUGUGUCUCUUUUAUUCGAUUUUUACAGUUUAAAUGCUUUUUUCUGUGGGGCUCAGGGGCUCAGGUCAGCACUUUGGGAGGCUGAGGAGGGUGGAUCACGAGGUCGGGAGUUAGAGACCAGCUUGGUCAACCUGGUGAAGCCCCAUCUCUAGUAAAAACACAAACGUGAGCCUGGCGUGGCGGCGGCAGCUGCAGUCCCAGCUCCUCCGGGAGGCUGAGGCAGGAGAAUCGCUGGACACCCGCUGCGGAGGCUGCGGUGAGCCGAGAUCACAUCGCCGCCCUCCAGCCUGAGCAACAGGGCGAGGCUCGUCUCAAAAACAUAAACACUUUCUUCAGGAAGAUGGAAAUGCGAUUGAUCGUGAGUGCUGGGCUUGCUACGUUUUAUUGUAACUAAUAAGGUGGGUGUGAACCCUGCCGCGUUUCUGUGCUUGUGUCUUGUUUCUCACUGUGUUAUCUUCUCCCGUUUGUGACUAUGCUGCUGUGGCCGUCACCCCGCUCCUUCCACAGCCACGUCAGUUCCUCUCGGGGCCUCACCGCGCAAUCGACAGGGCCACCCUCCACAUCCGCACCGUGGCCUCCGGUCUGGGCAACGGCAAUUCGGCUUCAAUGUCGGCUUUGCUGGAGACCACAGGACCCUGCCCUCCACCAGACGCAGUGUGCAGAGGCGUGUGCCCGAAACCGAAAUGCGGCAUCACACGGCUCUUUCAUCUGGAGCCAAACUCUCGGGAAACAAACCAGACAGACGCAGGGCGGUCACGACACCCGCGUGCGGCGUCCAAAGGCUAACUCGAGGCUGCGGUCCCUGCUGAGCACGCGGUCAUUCAACCUGGGGAAGCGAUGCCGGGAGACUCUUCUAUUCAGAUGACGUGAGGGAAGCUCCCUCAUCCUCAUAAAAGCAAGAGGGCCACCUCCACACCGUCCUGCUUUUCUGGACGCCAUGACCAGGAUGGGACAGGACCCAAGAACCCACACAUGAGACCACACUAAGACCCUAAAGAGUCUGAGCUUCUCCAGAGCGGCUGCUGACUCAUGCACACCCGGCCUGGUGUGCCCACCCCACCCAGUAUGCUCCUUGCCCGGUGAGUGUCCCCUUCCGGUGAGUGGCCCCCACCCAGUGAGUGCCCCCCACCCACUGAGUGCCCCCCAGCCGGUGAGUGCUCCCCGCCAUGUGAGUGUUCCCCGUCUGGUGUGAGAGCCCACCUGGUCUUCCCCCCCGCCCACCUGGUGUGAGCGCCCAGGUCAGCUAGGCUGCAGCGUUCUCAGGAAGUCCAGGCACCCGCCCCAGCCCCUGGCGACCCUCUUCUCAGCAGGUCUGAACCUAGAGCCACACGGGGCAUCCCCAGCACUUCCUGCCCCUGGGAUUCCCAUUCCUGAUUCACCUGAGCCCAGACCACACGUGGCAGACAGGUUCCGGCCCAGACCCGACGCCUCCAUCUGCUUGGGCCACUGGCUUCCCUCAGACACUGACCCUCAGAACAGACGGUUUCCUGCAAACCUGUGCCACCCCGUUUUGUCCAGUAAAUGCUGUUAUUUGUAAGCAGCUCGAUGAUGUGGUUUUCCUGGCUUUGCCGCACGUCACCCCCGAGGCUGCGGCUCCGCUGCUGCUGCCCGCGCUCGCCCCGUGGCUCCUGCAGAGGCCUCCUCCCCACCCUCGACUCACAGUAGCCACGCGGGCUGGGCUUCUCUCCUCUGCCACCUCCUCCCAUGUCACCUUGUGAUGAUGACAGAGGGCCCAGGGGACUGCGGUCAUCAUCCCUGCUUGUGGUGCUGGGACUCAGAGCUGCAGCCUCCGCCCUAGUGCGUGGCUGUGCGUGGGAUGCGGGGUUGUGGGGGCGGGAUGCGGGAUGGGGUGGCCACGCUCCAGCCAUCAGCGGGCCUUUGACACCGUUUUGAAUCUUCCCAUGAUGCUGUGAUGAUUCUAACUAACUCCUUAGGUUCCACUCCUAGGAACAGACCUCGGAGGUCAGGAGGUGAGAGCUUCCAACCCGCUCGGCCGAAGCUUCAGAGCGCACGUGCCGUUUCUCUGCCUUUGCCUCCUGUCUUUCCAUUGAGGUAACCAGCUGUUCCCUGCUCCUGUCUGGGCUGUGGCGGGCAGCCUGUCUCCUGCAGACGACACCCCCAGAACUGCCCCAGGCUCCACACGACACCAUCCGGCAUCAGGACCUGCCAGGCACCCUCUCUCAGCAUGGCCACAGCCACCACGUGGACUAAAGGCACAGAGUCUCCCUGCCAGGUGGGAGGGCACGGCUGCAUGGGGCUGUCCGCUCUCACUGAUCCCUGGAGCUCUAACGUCCUCAGGGUCCCGGGGCCCACUUCUGCCCAGCAGCACUGGGUCACAGGAGCCCAGCUUCAGGUGCAGACAAGGACCCAAAGUCAGCCCCAGCUCCUCUGAUGCUGAACUUCGGCGGACCUCAGCGUUUCCAGGCGAGCUCCAGCCGCAGGGUCCCUGGAGGCGCUGCACAGGACCAGCUCCCUGCUGGGCCCCUCGACGCCAUCCUGAAAAGGGGUUCUUAGUCUUCCCAUUUUGCUAUGAUAAUAAAAAUUAUAUCUUUAAUAGAUAUUAUUUUACAUGUGAAACAAA